rnacentral:lncRNA from 1 species
GCAGGACCUAUUCUAUCAAGGAUCAGUACUUGGGAAUAAGCUUCUCAUUUCAUCCUAAAGGAUUCUGUCACUCCACUGAAAUCUUAAGAGUCUCCAGUGCUUGUUAGGAAAGUGUGGAAGAUGAACCCCUUCUUCAUCCACAGAUGCUGAGAAUGCUAAUUAGAAGGACAGGUAUCAGGAAGCCCACACAGAGACGGUUUUGGGAUUUUGUCAGCAGUGGGCAAGUGGCUUAAGGUGAGAUAGCCAUUUGGGAGUCACAGCCUUACUCCUCCUUUAAUGAAGGGAAAAAUUAAAUUUUCCUGUAUCAAAACCUAGACUGGUCUAAAUAAAAAUUCCAUUAAAAAAUCA